rnacentral:lncRNA from 1 species
AAUUUGAUAUUAUUUGUUCAAUAUCUAAUUUACUAUUUUUAUUCUAUGAUUCAUUAUAACCAUGGGUGUCAUGAUUUGGUUUUUGGGAUACAUUAAAGCCCUCCAAAAAUAAUUAUUAUUUUCCGUCCAAUGGGCCAACGCUUUUGGUCAUUUUUGAGUACCAAUUUUUAGUAUCACGGUUGUGGGCGUUUACUACGAUCAAUUUACGACCUAUUAGACUUUGAAUGAGAAAGACAUUAGUCUAUGGGACAAUAUGGAUGAUCUUGUUUUAUCCUGCACUAUUGAAUGGACCAGCGUUAUAAUGUCUGGUAAAAUUAAUGCAUUGAUGUAAUACAAUAGACUGGAGGCCCUACUAGAAGAGGAAAUUGAGCUACAUUACAAGAUGCAAGACUUGCCAUAAUGAUUGUGGAGGUUUUAAUUUUGCGAAAAGCCGGAAAAGAGGCCCUGUUUUUCAAUACGUCAUAUUUUUUUUUUGAGGGAGGUCAUUGCAUGUGAGACCUGAACCUUAAGGCUCCUCUGGUAUCUCAACUAUUGAUAGUUUAAAUGCAUAUAUUUCCUUAGAUUGGACGAUUACCCUUUAAAGUACAAAUUUAACAAUUUUGUCGAGCGUACAGUUUCGUAUAGCAGGAGCUCCUCCAGUUUUAAGG